CGUAGGUGGCAGGCGUUGUCCGGAUUUAUUGGGUUUAAAGGGUGCGUAGGCGGCCCCAUAAGUCAGUGCUGAAAUAUCCCGGCUUAACCGGGAGGGUGGCAUUGAUACUGUGGGGCUUGAGUAAAGUUGAGGUUGGCGGAAUUGACGGUGUAGCGGUGAAAUGCUUAGAUAUCGUCAAGAACACCGAUAGUGUAGACAGCUAACUAAGCUUUAACUGACGCUGAGGCACGAAAGUGUGGGGAUCAAACAGGAUUAGAUACCCUGGUAGUCCACACUGUAAACGUUGAUUACUCGAUGUUGGCGAUACACAGUCAGCGUCUUAGCGCAAGCGAUAAGUAAUCCACCUGGGGAGUACGCCGGCAACGGUG
rnacentral:rRNA from 1 species